UGCAUUUACUGACAUUUUCAGACCGCGCUGAUGCCAUGCCGUCCGGCGGUCCAAGCUACGGCAGCUACUGCUGUGUUUCGUGGUGCUUGAACAAUGGCAGAACCCACAAGAAGCCAGGGACGAGUUUCUUCCGCAUACCACGGGACGGCAGGAUGACAGCAUGGAUGCAGUAUGCCGGACAAGAUGAUCUCCUGAGUAAGCCGGCCAGCCUAUUGUACGCAACGUACAGGGUUUGCAGCGACCAUUUACUGCUGAAAGUUUCAUGGACCCUGGGCACACAAGGCUUACAAGAAUGGCUGUUCCCAGUGUGCAACCAAUUGCACCAUGUUCUCUGAGCAUCGCUUCAAGUAGUGACUGGGACAUGACUGCAGAAGCCGCACUGCAAGGGUCUGCGGCAGAGGCUUCGAAAAGCGGCUCCCACACAUUGAAGUGCCCCGAGGAGC